rfam:Cavia porcellus supercont2_32 genomic scaffold, whole genome shotgun sequence.
GGGGAUUUAGCUUAGUGGUGUAAGUGCUUGCCUGGCAAGCACGAGGUCAUGAGUUCAAUCCCCG